UAGGGAAUCUUCGGCAAUGGACGAAAGUCUGACCGAGCAACGCCGCGUGAGUGAAGAAGGUUCUCGGAUCGUAAAACUCUGUUGUUAGAGAAGAACAAGGACGUUAGUAACUGAACGUCCCCUGACGGUAUCUAACCAGAAAGCCACGGCUAACUACGUGCCAGCAGCCGCGGUAAUACGUAGGUGGCAAGCGUUGUCCGGAUUUAUUGGGCGUAAAGCGAGCGCAGGCGGUUUCUUAAGUCUGAUGUGGAAGCCCCCGGCUCAACCGGGGAGGGUCAUUGGAAACUGGGGGACUUGAGUGCAGAAGAGGAGAGUGGAAUUCCAUGUGUGGCGGUGAAGUGCGUAGAUAUAUGGAGGAACACCAGUGGCGAAGGCGGCUCUCUGGUCUGUAACUGACGCUGAGGCUCGAAAGCGUGGGGAGCAAACAGG
rnacentral:rRNA from 1 species